rnacentral:rRNA from 1 species
UACGAAGGGGGCGAGCGUUGUUCGGAUUUACUGGGCGUAAAGGGCGCGCAGGCGGCUAUCCAAGUCAGGCGUGAAAGCCCCGGGCUUAACCUGGGAGGUGCGUCUGGGACUGGGUGGCUAGAGUUCGGGAGAGGAGAGUGGAAUUCCCAGUGUAGAGGUGAAAUUCGUAGAUAUUGGGAAGAACACCAGUGGCGAAGGCGGCUCACUGGCCCGAUACUGACGCUGAGGCACGAAAGCGUGGGGAGCAAACAGG